rnacentral:snoRNA from 1 species
GAUCAAUGAUGAGAAUAGACUAAUCUGAGCAUCAGAAGACUUUCCAGUCUCUCUGAUGCAUGGUCUCUGUAGUUCUCUUU